UUAGCUUAUGAAACCCUUGCGCAGCCGCGCCCCUCACGUCUAAAUCUAAACCCUAAUCCCAACGGUCAUUUCCAAGCGCCGACCUUCGCGGGCGAGGGUAAAAUUGUGGGUUUCUUGACUGACACGAGAUGAUCAAACGGCUAAAAUAUGGUUUUCCUCUUCUCUUCCUUUCGCGCCCAGCAGAUUGAUGGAUCGAUCCCAGCCUUCACGAAUUAAUCUCCCGAGGAGGAAAUGUGCGCUGCUUGAGGGCAUGAAUCAGGUUUGGAAAUCGUUUUAGAUUCAGCACUAGUGGCCCGUCUAGUUUACUAGCGUACAAUGUUUUGCUUGUCUCUGAUCUAACAAAAAGUUUUCAAAUCUCCGGUGCGUCGGAAAUAUUAAAAAGAAAGAGAAAUUCCAGGUCCAGUCUUCUGAAUAGGUAUUGUAUUUUUUUCCUAACCUUUUUAACUCGCAAUUCCUGUAGAAAGAUCAAUUUCUCUUUUUGUUUAUGUUUGCUUUGAUUUUAUUAUAUUUUGAUUUUAGCCUUUGGUUUUAUAUUGACAUCUUUUGUACCUGACGUUGAAUGUUUCUGAGGCUUUAUAUAGAUAUUCUCACAUCAUAUUUUGAUUCAACGGUGGACAGAGCCUGAGACGGUAUAAGCUUAAUUAUCGGUGGCCUAAUACAAGGUGCAAAGAUAGAUGUCGGGGUUUGCUUUUAGCCUUUAACAUGUUUGGGUUGCCAGUAUCACCCAUAAAUUUCUUGAGUUUGAUUUUAACCUUGAAAUUGAAUCAUUUGCGGAAGAAUCUUAUCAUUACAAACUAAGAGGUUAUUUAGAGUUAGACUUGAUAGGAGAAUCUUAUCAUGACAAGCGCAUAUUACGUGCAAAAAACAUGGCUGUACCAAAAUAAAGCACUUCGUAAUUUAUUUAUUUUUGUUUCUUGCGGGCCUAAAGCACAUCCUUUAUGUAUUUUCAAAAGAUAUUAUAUGUGGGUUUAUAAACAACUACAAUGUGCUGUGUAUCUUAGCUGCCGAUUGAAUAAAAAUCGUUCUUUCUUUUUCUGUUUGUAUUCCAUAAAGUGGUGUUUGAAAACUUUGCGUUAGCAAAUAUCUGAAUUUGGAAAUUUACUCAAAUUUUAAAAGCUAAGCUGUUGUAAUUUCUUUUUCAUGAAUGCUUUGUGUUUGGUCAGAACAACAUAUGUGCUUUCUAAAGAAAUGACAUUCUUGUGAUUUGAAAUAGAUGCCCUUGUUUUGGUAUUGGAACUUGUAUCUAUAAUGCUCUCCUACGAGGCUUAAUGACAUUUGUAUCAUUUGAUGCCUUCAUUAAAUGCGCAUAGAUGGAAUCAUGUGGAGUUGACUUUUCCUCUUCUACUUAGAUUCACCAUGCCUUUGCUGCACGUAGCCCCCUUACAUGUAUGCUAUAUAUAUAUAUAUAUGUCAUUUGCUGACAAAUUUGUUCUUUAUGCACCUUUGAAAAGCUUGUUGUCCACUGCAUCUUUAAUAAUUCCUUAUUAUGAAUGAUCAUAGAUAAAUGUGUGAUCAUUGAGAAUGAUUCGGAGUCUUGAGCAUGAAAUAUAAAGAUGCCUUGUGUUUUGUUACAUUAGUAUAUUUGACCUCUUGGACAAAUGGUUGUUUUUGAUAAUUUGAUUUAAAAUUGAUUUCCUUACUCUAACAUAUGACCAAGGAUAUUAAUGCACUAUUACAAGGCUCAAUGACAAUUAUAUGAUUUGAUGCCCCAUCUAAAUAUAAAUAUAUUUAAUGAGGUUAUACCUUUUCUUUUCAGCCUAGACUCUUCACGUCUUUGGUACAUUGUAGCCCUCUCUAAUAUUUGCUAAACAUAUAUUCAUCUAACAAAUUUCUUUUAGAAGCACACUUGCAAAAAUUGAUGAUCAUUGCAUCCUUUGAUGCUUGAUUUGGUUGCCCUUGCCCAUUGUGGGAAAAGUGGGAUUAGUUAAGAAGCUUGAAUAUGACAAGCAAAGGUGUCCUAGUUUUGCUUACAUGCAUGUUUUUGAACCUUUUGGAAUAUCAUAUGUGGCUUUUCUAUGAAAUGGCCAUAUUUUGAUUGAAAAUUGAUGUCCCUUCUUUGUUAUUCCAAUUUAUAUAUGCAAUGCACUCCUAUGAGGCUUAGUGAUGCUUGUAUCAUUUGAUGCCUAAUCUAAAUGUGCAUUAAUGGAAUCAUGGCAGGCUUUCUCUCUUUAGCUUAAACUCUCCAUGUCUUUGUUACUCGUAGCCUCCAUAAUGUAUGCUUUAUAUUUGUCCUUGGCGAGCAAAUUCCUUCUGUAUGAACCUUUGGAAAGCUUGAUGUUCACUACAUCAUUUGUUGGUAAUUAUGAAUUCCCGUAUAUAAAUGUAGGAAAAUUGAGAAUGAUUUGGAGCCUUGGGCAUGAAAUAUGAAGUUGCCUUUUGAAUUAAAGCAUUCAUAUAUUUGGCCUGAUAGACGAAUGGUAGUAUCUUGAUUUAAAAUUGAUUUCCUUACUUUGACAUUUGACCAUGGACUAUUAACGCACUGGUAUGAGGCUCAAUGACAAUUGCAUGAUCGGAUACUUCAUUUAAAUGUGCAUAAAUAUAUUUAAAAGGGGGCUACAUUUGCUUUGUAGCUUAGACUCUUCAUGUUUUUGUUGCUUUAUAGUCCUCUCACAUAUUUCAUAAACAUGUCUUUAUUUGACAAAUUUCUUUUGCAAACACUUGCAAAGAUUGAUUAUCAUUGCAUCAUUUGAUGCUUGAUUUGACUACCCUUGUUUAAUUGUGGAAAAAGUGAGAUUGAUUAAAAGGCUUGAAUAUGACAAAUUUCUCUUGGAAGCGCAUUUGUAGAGAUUGAUGGUCAUUACACCUUCAAUGCUUGAUUCGGUUGCCCUUAUCUAUUGUGAGAAAAUUGGGAUUGAUUGAGGACUUGAACAUGGCAUGGAAAGGUGUCUUAGUUUGGCUUAGAUGCAUGUCUUCAGAUCCUUCGGAAUAUCUUACAUGACUUAUCUAAAAUAUGGUAAUAUUUGGAUUGAAAAUUGAUGUCACUUUGAUAUUCGAAUUUAUAUAUGCAGUGCACUCCUACGAGGCUCAGUGACAUUUGUAUCAUUUUAUGCCUAAUCUGAAUGUGCAUAAAUAAAACCAUAGGGGGUCUACUUUUCCUCUUUAGCAUAGACUCUUCGUGUCUUUGCUACUCGUAGCCCUCUUACAUGUAUGCUAUAUAUUUGCCUUUCGUUGGCAAAUUUCUUUAGUAUGGACCAUUUAAAAGAUUGAUGUCCAUAGUAUCGUUUGAUAUCUUUUAUGAAUGCUCAUUUCUAAAUGUGGGAUAAUUAAGUGUGAUUUGGAGCCAUGAGCAUGAAAUACAAAUUGUGUUGUAUUUCGUAGCAUUAGUAUAUUUGGCUUGCUAGACAAAUGUUAGUAUUUUGAUUUAAAAUUGAUUUCCUUGCUUUGACAUUUGGCACAGACGAUUAAUGCACCAUUAUGUGCUUUAAUGACAAUUAUAUGAUUUGAUGCCUCAUUCAAAUGUGCAUAAAUAUAUUCAAUAGGGGUUUGCUUUUGCUUUGCAUCUUCGACUCUUCAUGUUUUUGCUGUUUUGUAGUCCUCUCACAUAUUUCAUAAACAGUUUUAUUUGACAAAUUUCUCAUGCGAGCACACUUGCAAUGAUUGAUUAUUGUUGCAUCAUUUGAUACUUGAUUUGGCUGCCCUUGUUCGAUUGUGGGAAAAGUGAGAUUGAUUAAGAGGUUUGAAUAUACAAAUUUCUCUUGCAAGUGCACCUACAAAGAUUGAUGAUCAUUGCAUCCUUUGAUGCUUGAUUUGGUUGCCAUUGUCCAUUGUAGGAAAAGUGGGAGGCUUGAACAUGGCAUGUAAAGGUGUCCUAAUUUGGCUUAGAUGCAUGUCUUUGGGCCUUCUUAAUAUCAUACGUGGCUUAUCUAAAAUAUGGUAAUAUAUGGAUUGAAAAUUGAUGCCCCUUCUUUGGUAUUCGAAUCUACAUAUGCAAUGCACUCCUGCGAGGCUCAAUGACAUUUAUAUCAUUUGAUGCCUAAUCUAAAUGUGCAUAAAUGGAACUAUGGGGGGUCUACUUUUCCUCUUUAACUUAGAUUCUGUGUCUUUACUACUCGUAGCCCCCUUACAUAUAUGCUAUAUAUUUGUCUUUUGUUGGCAAAUUUCUUCCAUGUGGACUGUUGAAUGAUUGUUGUCCAGCGUAUCGUUUGAUCUCUUUUAUGAAUGCUUAUAUCUAAAUGUGGGAUGAUUAAGUGUGAUUUAGAGCCAUGAACAUGAAAUACUAAGCUGCUUUGUUUUUCGUAGAAAUGGUAUAUUUGGCUUGCUAGACAAAUGUUAGUAUUUUGAUUUAAAAUUGAAUUCCUUACUUUGACAUCUGGCAAUGGACCAUUAAUGCACUAUUAUGAAGUUCAGUAGCAAUUAUAUGAUUUGAUGCCUCAUUUAGAUGUGCAUAAAUAUAUUAAAAGUGGGUUUACUCUUGCUUUGCAUCUCCAACUCUUCAUGUUUUUGUUGUUUUGUGGUCCUCUCAUUUAUUUCAUAAACAUAUUUUUAUUUGACAAAUUUCUCUUUCAAGCAUACUUGCAAAGGUAUCUAUUGUCGCAUCAUUUGAUGCUUGAUUUGGCUGCCCUUGUUCGAUUGUGGGAAAAAUGAGAUUGAUUAUACGGCUUGAAUAUAACAAAUUUCUCUUAUCAGCGCACUUGCAAAGAUUGAUGAUCAUUGCAUCCUUUGAUGCAUGAUUUGGUUGCCAUUGUCCAUUGUGGGAAAAAUGACAUUGAUUAUGAAGCUUGAAUAUGGCAUGUAAAGGUAUCCUAGUCUGGCGAAUAUGCAUGUCAUUAUAAUGUGGUAAUACUUUGAUUUAAAAUUGAUGUCCCUUUUUUGGCUUACAUGCGUCCUAUAUAUAUUUGUCCUUUCGAAGAGUUCAUUUUCAGUCCUUGAAAAUACUUGAUUUGUCUAUGAACUUGAAGCUUUUGAAAUAUACAUUUGGAUAAUACAAGGCAAAGUCAUUGAU